rnacentral:lncRNA from 1 species
GGAAGUUAUCGGGUGGCAGCAGAGUUGGAAUGGGAUAGGUAGUUCCCCGUUUCCAGGACCCCAGACGGCCUGCUGGGACAGUGUAUAUGAGUCCGGAAUGGGCUGGACCAGGGUCAGGCUAGCCCAGACUUCAGGUACGGGCUGUGAUGACGAGGAGUGGGCUAGUCUCCCGGGUCGGUCACCGCUGAACUCUCAGGUGUGAAACACAGUGGGCAUGUAGAGCUG